AGAGUUUGAUCCUGGCUCAGGACGAACGCUGGCGGCACGCUUAACACAUGCAAGUCGAACGAGAGAAGAGAAGCUUGCUUUUCUGAUCUAGUGGCGGACGGGUGAGUAACACGUGAGCAAUCUGCCUUUCAGAGGGGGAUACCGAUUGGAAACGAUCGUUAAUACCGCAUAACAUAAUUGAACCGCAUGAUUUGAUUAUCAAAGAUUUAUCGCUGAAAGAUGAGCUCGCGUCUGAUUAGCUAGUUGGUAAGGUAACGGCUUACCAAGGCGACGAUCAGUAGCCGGACUGAGAGGUUGAUCGGCCACAUUGGGACUGAGACACGGCCCAGACUCCUACGGGAGGCAGCAGUGGGGAAUAUUGCACAAUGGAGGAAACUCUGAUGCAGCGAUGCCGCGUGAGGGAAGAAGGUUUUAGGAUUGUAAACCUCUGUCUUCAGGGACGAAAAAAAGACGGUACCUGAGGAGGAAGCUCCGGCUAACUACGUGCCAGCAGCCGCGGUAAUACGUAGGGAGCGAGCGUUGUCCGGAAUUACUGGGUGUAAAGGGAGCGUAGGCGGGAUCGCAAGUCAGAUGUGAAAACUAUGGGCUUAACCCAUAAACUGCAUUUGAAACUGUGGUUCUUGAGUGAAGUAGAGGUAAGCGGAAUUCCUAGUGUAGCGGUGAAAUGCGUAGAUAUUAGGAGGAACACCAGUGGCGAAGGCGGCUUACUGGACGAUAACUGACGCUGAGGCUCGAAAGCGUGGGGAGCAAACAGGAUUAGAUACCCUGGUAGUCCACGCCGUAAACG
rnacentral:rRNA from 1 species